AACAAACGCUGGCGGCGUGCCUAAUACAUGCAAGUCGAACGGGGAAAGCUUUCGGGUGAGUACUAGUGGCGCACGGGUGAGUAACGCGUGGACAAUCUGCCUUAGAGUGGGGGAUAACUAGUCGAAAGAUUAGCUAAUACCGCAUAAGACCACAAGAACUGCGGUUCAAGGGGUCAAAGGUUUUUCGCUCUAAGAUGAGUCCGCGUAAGAUUAGCUAGUUGGUAGGGUAACGGCCUACCAAGGCGACGAUCUUUAACUGGUCUGAGAGGAUGAUCAGUCACACUGGAACUGAGACACGGUCCAGACUCCUACGGGAGGCAGCAGUAGGGAAUAUUGCACAAUGGAGGAAACUCUGAUGCAGCGACGCCGCGUGAGUGAUGAAGGCCCUCGGGUCGUAAAGCUCUGUCGCAGGGGAAUAACACAAUGAAGGUACCCUGUAAGAAAGGAUCGGCUAACUUCGUGCCAGCAGCCGCGGUAACAC
rnacentral:rRNA from 1 species